rnacentral:rRNA from 1 species
CCUACGGGUGGCAGCAGUGAGGAAUAUUGGUCAAUGGGCGCGAGCCUGAACCAGCCAAGUAGCGUGAAGGAUGAAUGCCCUACGGGUUGUAACCUUCUUUUAUAAAGGAAUUAAGUGAGGCAUGUGUCCCUUUUUGUAUGUACUUUAUGAAUAAGGCUCGGCUAACUCCGUGCCAGCAGCCGCGGUAAUACGGAGGAUCCGAGCGUUAUCCGGAUUUAUGGGGUGUAAAGGGAGCGUAGAUGGGUUGUUAAGUCAGAUGUGAAAGUUUGCGGCUUAACCGUAAAAUUGCAAUUGAUACUGGCAGCCUUGAGUACAGGUGAGGUAGGCGGAAUUCGUGGUGUAGCGGUGAAAUGCGUAGAGAUCACGAAGAACUCCGAUUGCGAAGGCAGCUUACUAAACUGCCACUGACAUUGAUGCUCGAAAGUGUGGGUAUCAAACAGGAUUAGAUACCCCUGUAGUC